rnacentral:lncRNA from 1 species
AGACACCAGAUCUUACUCUCUCUUUAUUAGUUCUGACAAAGGGAAAAGUCCAUGUGAGAACACCACAGCAAGAAGUCAACAAGCCACAAGCUAGGAAGAGUUCCCUGACCAGGAACAGAAUCAGCGGCAUCUUGAUUGGGAUGCCUAUCCUUCAGAACAACCUCUCACAAAUCACCUUCACAUGCAGGAUUUCAACUAAGCUUGUCAGAAAUUUUCCAAGAAACUUGAGGUUCAAAAUAGUGGAGGCUCCCACCUCCACUGUCCCACCCACUUUAUUGCACAGAUGUUUGUCAAAUCUACGCAGUUGUGGACAAGAUUCCUUCUGAUAAUCCUGCUACUCAGACUAUUGAACAGUCUCCUGAAGGAGCUGAAAUUUAUAAAUUAUUCAUUGGCGCUUGAUAGAAAACUCAGAGACGGUCCAUUGGAGAGCAAAAGACAAUCACAGUUCAGCUGCUUCAUGUGCUUACAGAAAAGGUGCAUUUUACAUCAACCAACAAAACGCCUACUGAAGAAAGGCUGAAUUCAUGCUGUCAUAGGAAUGAAGAUCUACCAUAUCUUAUUUAAACCAUAAAUUUUGUGUGGGAUUAGGCGAACACCAAAGUGAAGAAUAAAUGAACUAUACCAUAAGUUCCACAUUAUCAAAGACUUAUUUAUCAUUGGAAGGUAUUCAAAUGUCACUUUGCAACCACUCAUUGUUUCAAGAAUACCUUUGCUAGAGAUUUCAGCCUCUCCUUGCACAACUUUUAGGUCAGGGAAUAAUUCAUUCUCUCCUGGGCUAGCCAAUGCUAUCUUUAAGUGAUUUUAUUAAAAUAUUUUGUCAUUAUCUGUUACCUUGAAAUUUCUGUUCACAAUGUAAUUGUUAUUUCCUAUAACUACACAUUUAUUAAUUUUGUCCACAUGAAAAGCUUUCCAAUGGAAUAAGGCUUAUAACUUCUUGUCUAUCAAGGCUAAGUGCCAUUGCUUUUCAAUUGUUUCUCUAUGUGAUGACAGGAAACCGCACUAUUAUUGUUUUGCUG